rnacentral:lncRNA from 1 species
AUGGCGGAGGAACGGGAGGCCCUGAUUUCCUACGAGGAGCCAGAACCUGUCGCGGUUCCUGAAGAACCAGAGGUCACAGCUGUUCCUGAAGAACCUGCACCUCCUAUUGUGCCGAAAAAACCCAAGCCUGUGGCUGUACCUAAAAAAGCAGAACCUGCCCCUGUGCCGAAAAAGCCAGAACCUGCUGUGGUGCCGAAAAAACCACAACCUGCAGCUCCACCCAAAAAGCCCGAGCCAGCGCCAGUACCUGAAAAGCCCAAACUCGUUCCUGUGCUGAAAAAACCAGAAGCUAAGAAACCAGAACCUGCGUUUAAAAAACCAGAAGCUCCAGCAGUUGAAGCUUUGGUUCACGAAGAGGAACGAGAGGUACAGACUUUUAUUGGGUACAGAGAACGGAAACACAUUUCUGUUCACCAAGACCUCGAGGCCAUCGCUGCCCUUGAACCGGAACGGGCUUCAGCUUUCGAAGAGCCGGAGCCAGAGGAAUAUGUUGCUGAGGUACGAGAGGCCCUGAUUGCCUACGAAGAACCAGAACCUCCUUCUGCUCCCGAAGAACCGAAAGUGGCUGCCCCAGUAGAACCUAAAAAACCUGAACGGCCGCCUGCAAAAGUGCCCGAGGUACCCAAGAAAGAUGUUCCAGAAAAGAAAGUACCAGCUCCUGUGCUUAAAAAAAUUAAACCACCGCCUCCAAAAGUGCCCGAAGAGCCCAAGAAAAUUGUUCCUGAGAAGAAAAUACCUGCGGUUGCCCUUAAAAAACCAGAGCCUCCACCUGCCAAAGUGCCUGAAGCACCUAAGAAAGCUGUGCCAGAAGAAAAAGUACCUGCGGUUGUGCCUAAAGAGCCAGAACCCCUGCCCCCUACAGAGCCCGAAGUUACUGAGGAAAUUGAACCGGAAGAACUAAUACCUGCUCCUGUUCCAGAAAAAGAAGAAAUAAUUCCCACAGAAGAAGAGCCAGAACCAGAAAAGAAGAUACCUGAAAAACCUAAACCCCGUGUACCUUUCCCACCAAAAGAGGAAGUUAAGGAGGAAAAGGUUCCAUUUAAAGUACCUGGACUGAAACCACGGAAACAGCUUCCUCCACCACCUCCGACACCAAAGGAAGAAGUUGUUUUGAAAAAAGUUCCAAGAGCCGUUAAGAAGCCUGAGGAGGAAGAAGCCAAACCCGAGAAAGACUUAAAAGUUGAACCCAAGCCUGUUAUUGAAAAGAUCAAGAAGCCUGAAGUGCCAGAGAUUCCGAAGAAGAAAACUGAGAUCUUGCCUUUAAAGAAAAGGGAGGAGAAAGAGAAACCUGUUCCUGAACCAGCCAAAGGUACAAAGAUGUGGCAUUCUUACCUUUGCUGCUACAACUAA